rnacentral:rRNA from 1 species
GACGAACGCUGGCGGCGUGCUUAACACAUGCAAGUCGAACGGAAAGGCCCUGCUUUUGUGGGGUGCUCGAGUGGCGAACGGGUGAGUAACACGUGAGUAACCUGCCCUUGACUUUGGGAUAACUUCAGGAAACUGGGGCUAAUACCGGAUAGGAGCUCCUGCUGCAUGGUGGGGGUUGGAAAGUUUCGGCGGUUGGGGAUGGACUCGCGGCUUAUCAGCUUGUUGGUGGGGUAGUGGCUUACCAAGGCUUUGACGGGUAGCCGGCAUGGGAGGGUGACCGGCCACCUUGGGACUGAGAUACGGCCCAGACUCCUACGGGAGGCAGAAGUGGGGAAUAUUGCACAAUGGGCGGAAGCCUGAUGCAGCAACGCCGCGUGCGGGAUGACGGCCUUCGGGUUGUAAACCGCUUUCGCCUGUGACGAAGCGUGAGUGACGGUAAUGGGUAAAGAAGCACCGGCUAACUACGUG